GGCAUUCCUCCAGGGGCUGUGUAGGGGGACACUUCCCCCCGCCGCCCCGGAGCUCACAUGCUGGGAAGCCAAGGGCUGUGAAGGCUGCCAGAAGGGAAGGCAACUUGUUUCCCCUGUUUUCCUGACCCCCGGUCACUCUGCUUGAAACGGAAAAUGGACAAGACGCGACUGACCCCAGCCCAUCAGAAAAGGCAAGGAUGGGGCUUCUGAAUGAGAUGCAACGGUCUCUUGGCUCUGUAUGUACCCAAGGUUUCUCCCAAACAAGACCAAAGUACCCGUGUCUUCUCUCAUUCGAAAUGUUUCGCUUCCAUUAGGUGAUGGACAGUUAUUGAAGUAACUCAGCAGUGGGAUUUUAAAUGGUUAUAAUAUGAACCACUCUCAAGGUAACCAUUACUAUCUCUCAAAAACAUUUUAUUACUAAGGCAAAUGUAUGUUUUAGCAAUGCUCAGAUGGCUACUUAAUGUCAUGUUUAUCCCAGGCCAGACUCUCCUCAAAAUAAAUGAGGGUUUAAGAUCCAGUUUCC